AAUGUGAAAUAGGUGUUAAGAUUGAAGUAUCUAGAUGAGAUGGUCCCUGUUAGUGAUUGAAAAGCAAAGUCGACGACAAAGCCCUGCAUUUUUGCCGGUUUAUUAUGGAGACAACUCAACCACCUUGGGUAAUAUUUGAUUGAAUUGUGCUUGUGAGGUUUUGAUUCAUACUUCAGUGGAAUUUUUCGUAAUUUUUUUUGAAUUUUUGAUUUCUCGAGAAUGUUGGCUUUGGUCGAGCAACUUUUAGUGUGGAUUAAUAUGAGAAUCUGCUAUAUUAUCAUCCUGAUCGAGCUUCACCACUUGCUUGGAGUAUUGAUCACUAGUUUCCUUGCUCAGCUCUACUGUGCAAAAUACGAAUCUCUGUCACUGCGGCCUUGUUCCAGUUUUGAAGACAUCCUGGAUUGACAAUAACCCGGUAUGAGGUUUUGAAGCUGUCGAAUGUACUUGAGAAAUGAGCGUAAGGGCUGUGGGUAUUAUCGUUGGCAUGAUCCACCAGUUGAAGGGAGAUCGAAAGGUAUAAUACCGGGUUUGCUCAGGAAGCUAUCAUGUCGAUCUCUU